AAAUAAGAAGCAAAUUUGCAGUUAGUUUCGACCUAAAAUUUUGAUUAAAUAAAUCCUUAUUUA
rnacentral:tRNA from 1 species